AAUUCUGAUAAAAAAAAAAAUCACAUAAAUGUUCACGUAAAGGAGACAGGAGUGAACUCUGCGCAUGUACAAGAGGAACGGAGGCGGGAAGCCGUAGCCGAGCCCAUUUCGAACUUUGUUUGAAACACACAGUCAGUUGAAGCCGUUGAAGAACAGCGUGAAGAUGGAACCUGCUACUGAGCACAUCAACUCUUAAGUGUGUCCCUGGAAGAUCUACCAUCAACUUCCAGAACUGCAACUGCUAGUACUGUCAGAUGGUGAAUGCUACUCAGGCAAACACCAUUGUUACACCACUUUGAAGGAGAGCCUGGUCAUUUGGUCCCCUCAGCUUCUCCCUUUCUCAGUGAUAUGUUCAUUGUGGCUGGGAUAAUUGUGGGGCACUCUUUCCUUCAUGGAGGACCCUGCUUGUCUGGACUCUGUGAUGUGGUUGUCCAUACUGCUUCGUGGGAGCCCAGACACGGCUACAGUAAACCUGGAGGACUGUGCAGACCUGGACAUUAGAGAAACAAUCAGGCUUCUGGAGGUGGAAUCAAACCUAUCAGCUGAAGAAAUGGGAAGGGUACAGAACGUGGCCUCUUCCUGGGACCUCCCUCCGCUAACCACAACCAACAGGGCCCUUAAUGCUCUGCGGUGAAAAAAGGAGCAACAAGGCUGACCGUGACAUCGGGAGAGCUGAGGCAGAUCAUCUUAAACAUGAUGCACCUGGACGGUCCGGUGGCGGAGACUUCAAGAAUUAAAUAAAAUUACAAUGAAAUGGAUAACGUUUGUUUGACUGUUUGUUUACG